AACGAACGCUGGCGGCGCGCCUAAUACAUGCAAGUCGAGCGAGAAGACGUAGCAAUACGUUUGUAAAGCGGCGAACGGGUGAGGAAUACAUGGGUAACCUACCCUCGAGUGGGGAAUAACUAGCCGAAAGGUUAGCUAAUACCGCGUACGCUCCUUGGACUUCGGUUCAGGGAGGAAAGCGAUACCGUGGGUAUCGCGCUCUUGGAUGGGCUCAUGUCCUAUCAGCUUGUUGGUGAGGUAACGGCUCACCAAGGCUUCGACGGGUAGCUGGUCUGAGAGGACGAUCAGCCACACUGGCACUGCGACACGGGCCAGACUCCUACGGGGAGGCAGCAGUAAGGAAUAUUGCGCAAUGGGCGAAAGCCCUGACGCAGCGACGCCGCGUGGGGGAUGAAGGUCCUCGGAUUGUAAACCCCUUUCGGGAGGGAAGAUGGAACGAGCAAUCGUUCGGACGGUACCUCCAGAAGCAGCCACGGCUAAC
rnacentral:rRNA from 1 species